rnacentral:rRNA from 1 species
CCCUUCUUUGGGAUAACGCCCGGAAACGGGUGCUAAUACUGGAUAUUCACUGGUCUUCGCAUGGGGGUUGGUGGAAAGGGUUUUUCUGGUGGGGGAUGGGCUCGCGGCCUAUCAGCUUGUUGGUGGGGUGAUGGCCUACCAAGGCUUUGACGGGUAGCCGGCCUGAGAGGGUGACCGGUCACAUUGGGACUGAGAUACGGCCCAG